GCUCAAUUCGAGCAUGCUGCCGCGCUCGCUCUUCUCGGGGCCGCUGAUCGUCCCUGAGCCCAAAAGAUCGCCGACAUUCAUCGCGCAGCCUGAUGAGGCGUGAUGAACGAGCUGCUGCACCGACGACCAGUACAUGUAUUUGAAGUUGGUGCGGCAGAUGGCGGCUGACUCUUGCAUUGCUUCAGUCUUGAGAUCGACCGCGAGUUGCAGAUCGUAGUUGUGUGCGCCCUUCUGCUGCAAAUACGGCAGCGGCUUUGGGUCCUGCGCCGGACCAUUGACACGAAACGGCUC
rnacentral:misc_RNA from 1 species